rnacentral:rRNA from 1 species
UACGUAGGGGGCAAGCGUUGUCCGGAUUUAUUGGGCGUAAAGAGCGUGUAGGCGGCCGUACAGGUCAGCUGUGAAAACUCGAGGCUCAACCUCGAGACGUCGGUUGAAACCGUACGGCUAGAGUCCGGAAGAGGAGAGUGGAAUUCCCCGGUGUAGCGGUGAAAUGCGCAGAGUAUCGGGAAGAACACCCGUGGCGAAGGCGGCUCUCUGGGACGGUACUGACGCUGAGACGCGAAAGCGUGGGGAGCGAACAGG